CAAUAGCGUAUAUUAAAGUUGUUGCAGUUAAAAAGCUCGUAGUUGGAUUUCUGGGAGGGUGCCAAUGUCCGCUGAGGCGUGUGCAGCGGCGCCCUUCCAUCCUUCUGUUAACGUUUCAUGGUAUUCAGUUACUGGUUUCGGGCUCAGAUAUUUUACCUUGAGAAAAUUAGAGUGUUUCAGGCAGGCUUGCGCCGGAAUACAUUAGCAUGGAAUAAUAGAAUAGGACUUUAGUCUCUUUUGUUGGUUUGAGGGGCUGAAGUAAUGAUUAAUAGGGAUAGUUGGGGGCAUUAGUAUUUAAUUGUCAGAGGUGAAAUUCUCGGAUUUGUUAAAGACUAACUUAUGCGAAAGCAUUUGCCAAGGAUGUUUUCAUUAA
rnacentral:rRNA from 1 species